rnacentral:sRNA from 1 species
UAUUUGAACAUGAGAUGUGGUUACAUUUCUUCUUGAGUAAAAUGACUGUAUCAUUUAACAAUAAUCUUUGUUGCAUCUGCUAUGAACAGUAAUUACAGUUUGAAGUACUUGAAAAUGUUUGAAAAUAAACCAGUGUGACUUAGCUAAAUCUGCUUGGAAAUUAUACCAUGUCUUGAUAUUUUAUUAAAAUAUCAAAAUAUUUCAAUUAUGAACAAAAACUUAGAAACAAAGCUGUUGUGAAAUGCAAAGGUGUUUUUGUUCUGUUGCAGGGGAUUAUUUAUUUCGAUCUCAGACAGAGGUCAUGUUAGAUCAAUUGUGGAUAACUGGCCAGAAAAUCAUGUUAAGGUACUAAUAGCACAACCCUCCUUUUCACAAUGUUUUCUCUUUUCUUGUAAAUUACCUCUAAAUCUCCAAGAACAGUUUUUCAUUGUUGCUCUCAUUUAUUUUGCACUUAUAUACAUGCAGAUUUAGUGCUUUGCAGCUGAAGUGAUGAUAAUAGUAGUAGUUAUAAAAUGGGCUACUGGUAUAAAGUUUGACUCUGAGAAAGAAAUUAGAGCUAGAAUACAAGGUGAGCCCUCUCAGUAUCAGCACCACUGGUGUCUCCUGCCUUCUCAAUCUCCUUUUCUAUUUCACUAAUAUUAUUCUAGGUAAAGAAAAUACAUUAAAAUGCCAUAAAAACUUUUGUUUAUGAAUGGUGUUAGAGAAGUUUGGUUAUGCCUUUUUUUCUUUUAAAUCUAAGAUUUAGAACCUUAGCAAAUAUAAAAACGUUAAAUAUAGCAAAUAUAAGCCCUGGCCUAUUUAGUUAUCUUUCAUAAAAUAAAAUGUUAUAACUUAUUUCAAGAUCUUUGGGUAGGCUUUUGUAAAUUUUAUUGUAGGCAAUAAUCUUACCUGUCUUUAUACUCCUUUCCAAAAUAAACAUUGAAUGAUCGUUGGUUUGAAUACUCUAGCAAAAAUUUGGUCAAAUAAUUAAACUCACAGUAUCAUCUUAAGACCUUCCUUAUAAGUAGGUAUUUUUUUUGUUCUAGACCUUUUUCUUUUUCACAGUUGCUAAGGUUUUUUUUGUUUGGCCUAGGUUAUUGUGUUGGAGUACCAUGCUGUUUAUUUCUAAACUCUUAUUUUUCUCUUAUGGUAAUCUCUCCAUCAGAAUCUUGUUCAUCUCUGCCAUAUUUAAUCUUUCUGAAGAUAUUUAAGUUGGUCCUCUAGUCAGAAGAAUUCUAUUCCUAAACCAAAGUCAGAGGGAAAUCAAAUCUAGUUAAUGUCUCAUAAUACUCAGAAGUCCUAGAAUUUUAAGUAUGCUUGGUUGGUUUACAUUGGAAAUUAGCCAAGAAACAAUUUUAUUUUUAAGAGCAAAGAGUAAAUAUAUAUGAAGUGAAUCAAUCUUUUUAAAAAUGCUUUUCUUUAGUGCCCCAUUUUUGACAACUUUUAAUUUGCAUUUUUUUGUGAUUAAGGCUGUUGUAGUGACUGAUGGAGAGAGAAUUCUGGGUCUUGGAGAUCUGGGUGUCUAUGGAAUGGGAAUUCCAGUAGGAAAACUCUGUUUGUAUACAGCUUGUGCAGGAAUACGGCCUGAUAGAUGCCUGCCAGUGUGUAUUGAUGUGGGAACUGAUAAUAUCGCACUCUUAAAAGACCCAUUUUACAUGGGCUUGUACCAGAAACGAGAUCGCACACAACAGUAUGAUGACCUGAUUGAUGAGUUUAUGAAAGCUAUUACUGACAGAUAUGGCCGGAACACACUCAUUCAGUUUGAAGACUUUGGAAAUCAUAAUGCAUUCAGGUUCUUGAGAAAGUACCGAGAAAAAUAUUGUACUUUCAAUGAUGAUAUUCAAGGGACAGCUGCAGUAGCUCUAGCAGGUCUUCUUGCAGCACAAAAAGUUAUUAGUAAACCAAUCUCUGAACACAAAAUCUUAUUCCUUGGAGCAGGAGAGGCUGCUCUUGGAAUUGCAAAUCUUAUAGUUAUGUCUAUGGUAGAAAAUGGCCUGUCAGAACAAGAGGCACAAAAGAAAAUCUGGAUGUUUGACAAGUAUGGUUUAUUAGUUAAGGGACGGAAAGCAAAAAUAGAUAGUUAUCAGGAACCAUUUACUCACUCAGCCCCAGAGAGCAUACCUGAUACUUUUGAAGAUGCAGUGAAUAUACUGAAGCCUUCAACUAUAAUCGGAGUUGCAGGUGCUGGCCGUCUUUUCACUCCUGAUGUAAUCAGAGCCAUGGCCUCUAUCAAUGAAAGGCCUGUAAUAUUUGCAUUAAGUAAUCCUACAGCACAGGCAGAGUGCACGGCUGAAGAAGCAUAUACACUUACAGAGGGCAGGUGUUUGUUUGCCAGUGGCAGUCCAUUUGGGCCAGUGAAACUUACAGAUGGGCGAGUCUUUACACCAGGUCAAGGAAACAAUGUAUAUAUUUUUCCAGGUAAAUGCCACCAUUAUUUAUGUUAUAGAGCAAUAGUUAAUUAUGUAAAAAUACUUAAUGGAAUUCUUUGGAAUGGGAGAUUGAACUGAGCAACAGUAUUACAGAAUUUUGGUAUAAAUGUACAAGGAAACUCAAGGAAUUCAUCAAAUUCAGCAUGCUCCACUUUCUCUGAAAAUUUAUUCAUAUUGUUAAUUAAAUUUGUUUUUAUUAUAGAAAUAAUAUAUUGCAUGAUUUGUAAAAAUGCAGAGGAACAGAAUGGCACAAAAUUAUGUAACCCUUUCUAUCUCCCCUUGGUGUACCUCCUUAAUCAUACUUCUCAGAACCAUUGUCAAUAAUUUGCUGGGAGUUCUGAUGGUUACCAUCGUGACUGAUAGAUUUAUUUCCCAGGUUCAAGCAGUUCCCCUGCCUCAGCCUCCCAAGUAUCUGGGACUACAGGCAUGCACCACCACACUCAGCUAAUUUUUGUAUUUUUAGUAGAGAUGGGGUUUCACCAUGUUGACCAGGCUGGUCUCGAACUCCUGACCUCAGGUGUUCUGCCCAUCCCAAAGUGCUGGGAUUACAGGUGUGAGCCACCACGCCCAGCCAGGUGUUCUUAUUUUUUAAGAUACACCCAGUAUACUGGUAUCACACCAAAGGAAAUUAAUAAUAAUUGCUUAAUAUCGUUUAUCAUUACCUCAGUUCAACAACUUAUUUUUAUUCCCAAUACCUUUUUUAUUCUAGAAUUGCUCUUUCUAAAUAGCUACUUUUAAAGCAAAAACGGUUACAGUACUCUUUGAGCUUUUUCUGGAGAAUUAUUAGGAUUCCUUUCAAUGUUUCUGCCUUUGUGCUGUAUUUUCCAUAAAUUUCUGGUGAUCCUCAGUUGUCUCUUUCUUUUAAGCAAGACUGUGUUGAGUAAAACAGGAAUUUUGUAUGAUUUUCUUUUGCACUUGUGUCUUUUUUCUUCUGGUAGGUCUUUCCCUGACUAGCUGACAGCAGGCUCUAAUUAAGAUAUGACAAGUUUAUAUAGGCUGGCAUCAGGCAAGCAUGUAUAACUGUUGUCAAAGUAAAGAGGGUAUUUAGUCUGUGAAUAUCCUGGUACUUUUCUAUAUUUUUCUCCUUUUUUUUGCCCCUCGUGUUUUCCUAUAUGUCUCUUGAGACCUAACUUCUAUAAUAGAAACUGUCCUGUCAUCCAUAAUCUCUUUCUAGAACUUGAUAAUGUUCAAAAUUAAUGUGUUCUAUUCAGUAACAUUUCUAUGGCCUAAAAGACAUGAGGGCAGGAAAGGAAAUACUUUUCUGCUGAUUUUAACAAAGCUAUUUUUUUAAACUUUUUUUUUAGUUCCAGGGGUACAUAUGAAGGUUUGUUAUAUAGGUAAAUUGUGUGUUGCAGGGGGUUUCAUGUAUAGAUUAUUUCAUCACCCGGGUAAUAAGCAUGGUACCCAAUAGGUAGUUGUUUGAUCCUUACCCUCUUCCCGCCCUCUACCCUUAAGUAGGCCCCAGUGUCUGUUGUUCCCUUCUUUGUGUCCAUGAGUUCUUAUCACUUAGCUCCACUUGCAAGUGAGAACAUACGGCAUUUGGUUUUCUGUUCCUGUGUUAGUUCACUUAGGAUAAUAGCCUCCAGCUCCAUGCAUGUUACUGCAAAGGACGUGAUCUCAUUCAUUUUUUUGGCUGCAUAGUAUUUUUUUUUAUUUAUACACAUGGUGUAUAUGUGCCACAUUUACUUUAUCCAGUUUACUAUUGAUGGGCAUUUAGAUUAAUUCUAUGUCUUUACUAUUGUGAAUAGUGCUGCAGUGAACAUACACAUGCAUGUGUCUUUAUGGUAGAAUGAUUUAUAUUCCUUUGAGUAUAUAGCCAAUAAUAGGAUUGCUGGGUCGAAUGGUUGUUCUAAAUUCAGCAAAACCAUUUUUUAUAUCAUAUCUGAGUAUUAAGGAAUUUAGCAGUUGAUUAUUUUUAUAUAACACUUUAAAGUCCUAACUUAAAUAACAGCUAUGGAUACCAUAAAUAUAGACAUUAAAAAUGACCUGGCCAGGCAUGGUGGCUCUCGCCUGUAAUCCCAACAUUUUGGGAGGCCGAGGCAGGAGGAUUGCUUGAGGCCAGGAGUUUGAGACCAGCCUGGGCAACUUAGUGAGACCUUGUUUCUUCCAAAAAUUAAAAAAAUUAACCAGGUGUAGUGGUGCACACCCCUAGUCCCAGCUAGUCAGGAGGCUGAGAUGGAAGGAUCGCAUGAGCCUGGGAGGUCCAGGCUGCAGUGAGCCAUCAUCAUGCCAGUGCACUCCAGCCUGGGCAACAAAGUGAGACUGUCUCAAAAAAAUAAAAUAAAAUGACCUGGCAUUUGAGGCAGAAAUGAGCCUAAAAACAGGAGGAUUGGCUGAAAGUCCGUUUAUAAAGCAACUUAAAAAUAAAACUGUUAAUAUUUGAAUGACCUAGUUGAGCAACUAUAACAACCGGAUGAAAAAUUUUUUUAAGACUUUAAAAGGGUCAAAGGGAUAAGAUAUUGGCUCUAAUGGAAUAUUGGAGAAUUCUGGACCAAGGUUAGGGAGGGAACAAAUGCACAGAACAAGCUUUUGAAGCCAGUUUUACAGUGGAAAUAUAGACCAGGAAGAAAGUGGCUAAGAGGUACAGCUGUGCUUUUCAUGGAAAGUGGACAAGAUCGGCACCAUGUCCGAGUCUGGCACUACCUCCCACUCUGGACUGAAACCCUAAAGUGCUGUACCUUGGAUUGGGGGUAUAGUUUGCAGCAGCAAUGGGUGAUUUAGAAAACCUCAAGCCUCUGUUCGGGACUGCCAGUGCCCACAAGUGCCCAGCAGAAGCAAACAAAAAUUUCUCUGAAAUAAGAUAAUGGCAUCCUAGUCCUCAAAUUAUUUUUAUAAAUUUUCAAGUACAACCUAAGUAGAAAAAUAAAAAAAAGAUAAUGAGGCACAUAAAGAGACAUAACAACAGAAGCCAAAACCAGCGAAAACAAGAAAAACAGACACACUGAAACCCUGGAUAUACCGUAAAUGCUAUGAAACAAAUAUGCUUAUUAUGUUUAUAGAGAUAAAAGCCAAUCUUGAAAACUUAAGACAAGUACCACUAAAUUCUAGAAUUGAAAAACGUAGUAAUCUAUAAGAACUGAGUGAGCUGGGUGUAGUGGCUCAUGCCUGUAAUCCCAGCACUUUGCGAGACCAAGGUGGAAGAAUUGCUUGAGCCCAGGAGUUUGAGACCAGCCCUGGCAACGUAGUGAGACCCCCAUCUCUAUAAAAUUAAAAAAAAAAAAAAAUUAGCCAGGCAUAGUGGCAUAUGCCUGUAGUCCUAGCUAUUCAGGAGGCUGAGAUGGGAGGAUCACUCGAGCUUGGGAGGUCAAGGCUGGAGUGAGUCAUGAUUGGGCCACUGCACUCCAGCCUGGGUGAC